GAUGAACGCUGACAGAAUGCUUAACACAUGCAAGUCUUUGGCGAAGCUGUGCUUGCACAGCCUAGCCAAGGCGGACGGGUGAGUAACGCGUAAGGAACUUGCCCUGCAGUCAGGGAUAACAGACGGAAACGACUGAUAAGACCUGGUAAAGUCAGGCGGACUCAUGUCCAGCCUGAUGAAAAGAGAUGCUGCAGGUGAGCCUUGCGUCCUAUUAGCUUGUUGGUGGGGUAACGGCCCACCAAGGCGAUGAUAGGUAGCCGGCCUGAGAGGGUGGACGGCCACAAGGGGACUGAGAUACGGACCUUACUCCUACGGGAGGCAGCAGUGGGGAAGAUUGGACAAUGGGGGCAACCCUGAUCCAGCAAUUCGGUGUGCACGAUGAAGGUUUUCGGAUUGUAAAGUGCUUUCAGCAGGGAAGAAAAAAUGACGGUACCUGCAGAAGAAGCGACGGCUAAAUACGUG
rnacentral:rRNA from 1 species